rnacentral:rRNA from 1 species
GACGAACGCUGGCGGCGGGCUUAACACAUGCAAGUCGAACGGAAAGGCCCUGCGUUUGUGGGGUGCUCGAGUGGCGAACGGGUGAGUAACACGUGAGUAACCUGCCCUUGACUUUGGGAUAACUUCAGGAAACUGGGGCUAAUACCGGAUAGGAGCUCCUGCUGCAUGGAGGGGGUUGGAAAGUUUCGGCGGGUGGGGAUGGACUCGCGGCUUAUCAGCUUGUUGGUGGGGUAGUGGCUUACCAAGGCUUUGACGGGUAGCCGGCCUGAGAGGGUGACCGGCCACAUUGGGCCUGAGAUACGGCCCAGACUCCUACGGGAGGCAGCAGUGGGGAAUAUUGCACAAUGGGCGGAAGCCUGAUGCAGCAACGCCGCGUGCGGGAUGACGGCCUUCGGGUUGUAAACCGCUUUCGCCUGUGACGAAGCGUGAGUGACGGUAAUGGGUAAAGAAGCACCGGCUAACUACGUG